rnacentral:rRNA from 1 species
AGAGUUUGAUCCUGGCUCAGGAUGAACGCUGGCGGCGUGCCUAAUACAUGCAAGUCGAACGAGGCCCUUUGUAUUCGUACGAAGGUGUCCUAGUGGCGAACGGGUGAGUAACACGUAGGUGACCUACCCCGAAGAGGGGAACAACCCCGGGAAACUGGGGCUAAUACCCCAUAACCUCCUUGGAGUUAGAGGUCCUUGGAGAAAAGGAGCAAUCCACUUUGGGAGGGGCCUGCGGCCUAUCAGCUAGUUGGUAGGGUAAUGGCCUACCAAGGCUAUGACGGGUAGGGGGCCUGAGAGGGCGAUCCCCCACACUGGCACUGAAACACGGGCCAGACACCUACGGGUGGCAGCAGUAGGGAAUAUUGCCCAAUGGACGAAAGUCUGAGGCAGCAACGCCGCGUGCGCGAUGAAGGCCUUCGGGUUGUAAAGCGCUUUUCUGGGGGAAGAGAAAGGACGGUACCCCAGGAAUAAGUCUCGGCUAACUACGUGCCAGCAGCCGCGGUAAAACGUAGGAGGCAAGCGUUAUCCGGAUUUAUUGGGCGUAAAGCGCGUGUAGGCGGUUUAGUAAGUCGGACGUGAAAGUUCCCGGCUCAACUGGGAGAUGCCGUUCGAGACUGCUAGACUAGAGGGCAGCAGAGGGAGGUGGAAUUCUGGGUGUAGCGGUGAAAUGCGUAGAUAUCCAGAGGAACACCAGUGGCGAAGGCGGCCUCCUGGACUGUCCCUGACGCUCAGACGCGAAAGCUAGGGUAGCAAACGGGAUUAGAAACCCCGGUAGUCCUAGCUGUAAACGAUGCAGACUUGGCGUUGGUGGUUUAAUAGCCAUCAGUGCCGUAGCUAACGCGAUAAGUCUGCCGCCUGGGGACUACGGCCGCAAGGCUAAAACUCAAA